rnacentral:rRNA from 1 species
CAGAGGGUGCGAGCGUUAAUCGGAAUUACUGGGCGUAAAGCGUGCGUAGACGGUUAUUUAAGUCGGAUGUGAAAGCCCCGGGCUCAACCUGGGAAUUGCAUUCGAGACUGAAUAGCUAGGGUACGGUAGAGGGAAGCGGAAUUUCCGGUGUAGCGGUGAAAUGCGUAGAUAUCGGAAGGAACAUCAGUGGCGAAAGCGGCUUCCUGGACCAGUACCGACGUUCAGGCACGAAAGCGUGGGGAGCAAACAGGAUUAGAUACCCUGGUAGUACACGCCAUAAACGAUGAGGACUAGACGUUGGAGGGUUAAGCCUUUCAGUGUCGUAGCUAACGCGCUAAGUCCUCCGCCUGGGGAGUACGGCCGCAAGGUUG